rnacentral:tRNA from 1 species
GCUCCAGUGGCGCAAUCGGUUAGCGCGCGGUACUUAUAUAGCAGUGCAAGCGGAGCAAUGCCGAGGUUGUGAGUUCGAUCCUCACCUGGAGCA